rnacentral:rRNA from 1 species
AUUGAACGCUGGCGGCAGGCCUAACACAUGCAAGUCGAACGGUAACAGGAAGAAGCUUGCUUCUUUGCUGACGAGUGGCGGACGGGUGAGUAAUGUCUGGGAAACUGCCUGAUGGAGGGGGAUAACUACUGGAAACGGUAGCUAAUACCGCAUAACGUCGCAAGACCAAAAAGGGGGACCUUCGGGCCUCUUGCCAUCGGAUGUGCCCAGAUGGGAUUAGCUAGUAGGUGGGGUAACGGCUCACCUAGGCGACGAUCCCUAGCUGGUCUGAGAGGAUGACCAGCCACACUGGAACUGAGACACGGUCCAGACUCCUACGGGAGGCAGCAGUGGGGAAUAUUGCACAAAGGGCGAAAGCCUGAUGCAGCCAUGCCGCGUGUAUGAAGAAGGCCUUCGGGUUGUAAAGUACUUUCAGCGGGGAGGAAGGGAGUAAAGUUAAUACCUUUGCUCAUUGACGUUACCCGCAGAAGAAGCACCGGCUAACUCCGUG